AUUGAACGCUGGCGGCAGGCUUAACACAUGCAAGUCGAGCGAGCGGCGGACGGGUGAGUAAUUUCUGGGAAACUGCCUGAUGGAGGGGGAUAACUACUGGAAACGGUAGCUAAUACCGCAUACCAUCAGAUGGGCCCUGAUGGGAUUAGCUAGUAGGUGGGGUACGGGCUCACCAAGGCGACGAUUCCUAGCUGGUCUGCGAGGGUGACCAGCCACACUGGAACGGAGACACGGCCCAGACUCCUACGGGAGGCAGCAGUGGGGAAUCUUGGGCAAUGGGCGAAAGCCUGAUGCAGCCAUGCCGCGUGUGUGAAGAAGGCGUUCGGGGUGUAAAGCACUUUUGGCAGGGAAGCGUUAUUCGCAGAAGAAGCACCGGCUAACUACGUGCCAGCAGCCGCGGUAAUAC
rnacentral:rRNA from 1 species